rnacentral:rRNA from 1 species
UACGGGGGGGCAAGCGUUGUUCGGAAUUACUGGCGUAAAGGGCGCGUAGGCGCCUGCUAAGUCGGAUGUGAAAUCCCUCGGCUCAACCGAGGACUGCAUCCGAUACUGGCGGGCUUGAAUCCGGGAGAGGGAUGUGGAAUUCCAGGUGUAGCGGUGAAAUGACGUAGAUAUCUGGAGGAACACCGGUGGCGAAGGCGGCAUCCUGGACCGGUAUUGACGCUGAGGCGCGAAAGC